rnacentral:rRNA from 1 species
AGACCCGAAACCCGGUGAUCUAGCCAUGGGCAGGUUGAAGGUUGGGUAACACUAACUGGAGGACCGAACCGACUAAUGUUGAAAAAUUAGCGGAUGACCUGUGGCUGGGGGUGAAAGGCCAAUCAAACCGGGAGAUAGCUGGUUCUCCCCGAAAGCUAUUUAGGUAGCGCCUCGUGAAUUCAUCUCCGGGGGUAGAGCACUGUUUCGGCUAGGGGGCCAUCCCGGCUUACCAACCCGAUGCAAACUGCGAAUACCGGAGAAUGUUAUCACGGGAGACACACGGCGGGUGCUAACGUCCGUCGUGAAGAGGGAAACAACCCAGACCGCCAGCUAAGGUCCCAAAGUCAUGGUUAAGUGGGAAACGAUGUGGGAAGGCCCAGACAGCCAGGAUGUUGGCUUAGAAGCAGCCAUCAUUUAAAGAAAGCGUAAUAGCUCACUGGUCGAGUCGGCCUGCGCGGAAGAUGUAACGGGGCUAAACCAUGCACCGAAGCUGCGGCAGCGACACUAUGUGUUGUUGGGUAGGGGAGCGUUCUGUAAGCCUGCGAAGGUGACCUGUGAGGGUUGCUGGAGGUAUCAGAAGUGCGAAUGCUGACAUAAGUAACGAUAAAGCGGGUGAAAAGCCCGCUCGCCGGAAGACCAAGGGUUCCUGUCCAACGUUAAUCGGGGCAGGGUGAGUCGACCCCUAAGGCGAGGCCGAAAGGCGUAGUCGAUGGGAAACGGGUUAAUAUUCCCGUACUUGGUGUUACUGCGAAGGGGGGACGGAGAAGGCUAUGUUGGUCGGGCGACGGUUGUCCCGGUUUAAGCGUGUAGGUGUGUGUUCCAGGUAAAUCCGGUUCACUUUAACACUGAGGCGUGAUGACGAGGCACUACGGUGCUGAAGCAACAAAUGCCCUGCUUCCAGGAAAAGCCUCUAAGCAUCAGGUAACAUCAAAUCGUACCCCAAACCGACACAGGUGGUCAGGUAGAGAAUACCAAGGCGCUUGAGAGAACUCGGGUGAAGGAACUAGGCAAAAUGGUGCCGUAACUUCGGGAGAAGGCACGCUGACAUGUAGGUGAAGUGAUUUACUCAUGGAGCUGAAGUCAGUCGAAGAUACCAGCUGGCUGCAACUGUUUAUUAAAAACACAGCACUGUGCAAACACGAAAGUGGACGUAUACGGUGUGACGCCUGCCCGGUGCCGGAAGGUUAAUUGAUGGGGUCAGCGCAAGCGAAGCUCCUGAUCGAAGCCCCGGUAAACGGCGGCCGUAACUAUAACGGUCCUAAGGUAGCGAAAUUCCUUGUCGGGUAAGUUCCGACCUGCACGAAUGGCGUAAUGAUGGCCAGGCUGUCUCCACCCGAGACUCAGUGAAAUUGAACUCGCUGUGAAGAUGCAGUGUACCCGCGGCAAGACGGAAAGACCCCGUGAACCUUUACUAUAGCUUGACACUGAACAUUGAGCCUUGAUGUGUAGGAUAGGUGGGAGGCUUUGAAGUGUGGACGCCAGUCUGCAUGGAGCCGGCCUUGAAAUACCACCCUUUAAUGUUUGAUGUUCUAACGUGGACCCGUGAUCCGGGUUGCGGACAGUGUCUGGUGGGUAGUUUGACUGGGGCGGUCUCCUCCUAAAGAGUAACGGAGGAGCACGAAGGUUGGCUAAUCCUGGUCGGACAUCAGGAGGUUAGUGCAAUGGCAUAAGCCAGCUUGACUGCGAGCGUGACGGCGCGAGCAGGUGCGAAAGCAGGUCAUAGUGAUCCGGUGGUUCUGAAUGGAAGGGCCAUCGCUCAACGGAUAAAAGGUACUCCGGGGAUAACAGGCUGAUACCGCCCAAGAGUUCAUAUCGACGGCGGUGUUUGGCACCUCGAUGUCGGCUCAUCACAUCCUGGGGCUGAAGUAGGUCCCAAGGGUAUGGCUGUUCGCCAUUUAAAGUGGUACGCGAGCUGGGUUUAGAACGUCGUGAGACAGUUCGGUCCCUAUCUGCCGUGGGCGCUGGAGAACUGAGGGGGGCUGCUCCUAGUACGAGAGGACCGGAGUGGACGCAUCACUGGUGUUCGGGUUGUCAUGCCAAUGGCACUGCCCGGUAGCUAAAUGCGGAAGAGAUAAGUGCUGAAAGCAUCUAAGCACGAAACUUGCCCCGA